GGCAUCAGUAAGGAUCAGGUGUGAUGUCAGACAGUUGUAAGUCUACAUUCAUCCCCACACAUAGAAGGUAGCUCAGGACCUGGCAGCUUCUUACUGAGACACCAUUGGUGACCUCAGGGAUGACAGGCUGGUAAUGAGGGUGGUGUACAUUCACACACAGUGACAGGUUCAAACUGAUGACAUUCUGUUUCCAGCCUGGAAGCACGCUGACUCAUCCUCUGGGAGCACCUCCAUGGGAAUGGAACCGGAAGAACCAGGAAAACAGGUGAGGCCAUCGGCAAUGGAUCCAGCCCCUGCCUGAAGAACCUUAACCCUGGGUCUCAUCAACUCGGAUGGGAUGAAUCCUGCAUAUAGGUAAGAGCCUGUCCUGUUUUUGAAGCCUUCAGUCCCAUAAAUUUCAGUGUCUCGUGAUUGUUUUUAAUAGCAGAUAAUUUCAGCCAACUUCAAAGCAUGUAUCCAGUUCAUGGCACUCAUUAAGGGGUAGGCUAGAAAGAGCUGUUUGCACGAUGAAAAUAGAGCAGCCUGAGAAACCCCCCGAGCCACCCAACCCCCCCAAUGGAAGUGUGAGGCGGUGCUGGUAUGUGCUGAUGUAACACUACACAGGGGGAUGCUUUUAUCCAUAGCUUAGCGUGUGUUUUUGCCAUGUAUACAUAAUUUAUACAUUUUACUGAAGUCAUUCAUGCAAGCCCCCCCCACAUCAAGGAAUAUGAUACCCUCUUUUAUAAGUUUGUCAACUGGUGUGGGCCCUGCUGGCGAAGAGAAAGUAUAGCAUGUGUGUCUGGUAAUAGGAACAGGUGAGCUUGCUUUGGGCCAGGGAGUUUAAUCUGGCAGAGGUGUAUUGAGAGGCUAUAGUAUACAUUCAUCAGCUGGACUGUGUUGGCAGUGAUCAACUUCACUCAGAAAUGGCACUGCAAAGCCCGGUUUUCUUCAGUCAGGCCGUGUGCGGUGGUCAGCUUCACUCAGAAAUGGCACUGCAAAGCCCGGUUCAUUCUUCAGUCAGGCCGUGUGCGGUGGUCAGCUUCACUCAGAAAUGGCACUGCAAAGCCCGGUUCAUUCUUCAGUCAGGCCGUGUGCGGUGGUCAGCU